rnacentral:tRNA from 1 species
AUCUUAGUAGUUUAUAGCCUAGCAACGCAGCACUGAAGAUGCUGAAGAGAGAAAUAUCUCCUCGGAUA